GGGGUGCAGCAGGCGCGAAAACUUUGCAAUGCGGGAAACCGUGACAAGGGAACUCUGAGUGCCCGUUAAAUCGGGCUGUCCAUCGGUUUAAAUAACCGGUGAAGAAAGGGCCGGGCAAGACCGGUGCCAGCCGCCGCGGUAAUACCGGCGGCUCGAGUGGUGGCCACUAUUACUGGGCUUAAAGCGUUCGUAGCUGGUUUGUUAAGUCUCUGGGGAAAUCUUCCGGCUUAACCGGAAGGCGUCUCAGGGAUACUGGCAGACUAGGGACCGGGAGAGGUGAGAGGUACUCCAGGGGUAGGAGUGAAAUCCUGUAAUCCUUGGGGGACCACCUGUGGCGAAGGCGUCUCACCAGAACGGCUCCGACAGUGAGGGACGAAAGCUGGGGGAGCAAACCGGAUUAGAUACCCGGGUAGUCCCAGCUGUAAACGAUGUGCGUUAGGUGUAUCGGUGACCACGAGUCACCGAGGUGCCGAAGAGAAAUCGUGAAACGUACCGCCUGGGAAGUACGGUCGCAAGGCUGAAACUUAAAGGAAUUGGCGGGGGAGCACAAGGGCGAUUCGC
rnacentral:rRNA from 1 species